rnacentral:lncRNA from 1 species
UCGAUCAACUUGCAGAAAAUAGAAUGGUGAAUACAAUCGUAGAAAAAUCACAUGGAACAGGAAUCUGGAAGGGGCCUAUCGGAGGUAAUUUUUAGUUUUACCUGCGAUGGCGCCGCCAAACUUUACCUCCGGUUUUCGGCUCAUCUGCUGGUUCUUUUGCUCCGAUUUGGCCAUAGGGGUGUUCAAAAUCAAAUUUCGAGCAAAUGAGAGUAUUUUUACCUUUUUUAGCAGACG